GUUUGAUCCUUUUGCGUAACAUAAUGAUGUUUGUCUAAAAAUUUAGGCCCAUUUGAUGUAUAAGUACAUGCCGAAAUAAGGCGAAACCGAGAAUGGCUCAUUAAAUCAGUUAUGGUUCCUUAGAUCGUUUCUUCCUACUUGGAUAACUGUGGCAAUUCUAGAGCUAAUACAUGCAGUGAGCCUGGAGCCCUUUGGGUAACGGGUGCUUUUAUUGGACAGUCGUCGGGUUCGGGGCGAUUGUGUGGUGGACUCGGGAUAUUUGUUUUUGUGAUUCGGGCAUUGUGGCCACGGAGCCGGGGCGGGGUCUCUUUCACGUUUCUGGCAUUUAACUUUGAUGGUGGUUACUUGCUUACCCCCAUGGUUGUUUAGCGCGUCCGGGCGGUAUCGGAAGAAUCAGGGUUCGAUCCGGGAGGGAGCCUGAGAAACGGCUACCACAUCCAAGGAAGGCAGCAGGCGCGCAAAUUACCCACUCCCGGUACGGGGAGGUAGUGACGAAAAAUAACAAUACGGGACUCUUUUGAGGCCCCGUAAUUGAAAUGAGUACACUCUAAAUCCUUUAACGAGGAUCAAUUGGAGGGCAAGUCUGGUGCCAGCAGCCGCGGUAAUUCCAGCUCCAAUAGCGUAUACUAAAGCUGCCUGGGUUAAAAGUUACGUAGUUGGUCUUCAUUCGGGAGAGUGUGCAUCUCCCGAUGGCGGCUCGACCUGAAACUAUUGCGGUUCUUUUUUGGUUCACUCAUGUGUGGCUCGGAUGGCCGGUGCUUUUCUUUGAAGACAAUUUAGAGAUGCUUCAACGCGGGGGUGCUGAAUAAAUGCAUGGGAUAUAGAACAGAACCUCGUUUUGUUUGUUGGUUUUUGGAUUACGAAGAGUAAUGAUUAGAGGGACGGGGGGGCGGCGUGGGGGGCUUUCGUAUUGCGGGCUAGAGGUGAAAUUCUUGGCCGGUGCAGCGAAUACUGCGAAAGAUUUGCAAGAAUGUUUUCUUGAUCAAGAACGAAAGUCAGAGGUUCGGAAGGCGUAUGUAGCGGUAUGUGACCAUAAACGAUGCCAACCAGCGAUCCGCCUGAGUUACUCAAAUGACUCGGCGCUUCCGGGAAACCAAAGUAUUUGGGUUCCGGGGGAAGUAUGGUUGCAAAGCUGAAACUUAAAGGAAUUGACGGAAGGGCACCACCAGGAGUGGAGCCUGCGGCUUAAUUUGACUCAACACGGGAAAACUUACCCGGCCCGGACCAUGGGAGGGAUAUUGACAGAUUGACGAGCUUUUUCUUGUUUCGGUGGAUGGUGGUGCAUGGCCGUUCUUAGUUGGUGGAGCGAUUUGUCUGGUUAAUUCCGAUAACGAACGAGACUCUAGCCUAUUAAAUAGGUGCGGGGUUCCCAGCACCUUACAACCUUCUUAGAGGGACAAGCGGCUCCUAGCCGCACGAAACAGAGCAAUAACAGGAAUGGUCUGUGAUGCCCUUAGAUGUCCGGGGCCGCACGCGCGCUACACUGAAGGAAGCAGCGUGUCUUUAUCCCUGUCUGAAAAGACUGGGUAACCCGUGGAACUUCUUUCGUGAUUGGGAUAGGGGCUUGCAAUUGUUCCCCUUGAACGAGGAAUUCCCGUAAGCGAGUUCAUUAGUCGCGUUGAUUAGUGCUGCUUUUGUACACGCCCCGUCGUACUAGAUUGAUGAUUUGUGGGUUUGGAGCGAUGGUCCGGCGCGGCCUUUCGGUUGCGCCGGUCUGUUGGAAAGAUGACCAAACUUGAUCAUUUAGAGGAAGUAAAA
rnacentral:rRNA from 1 species